UCCCGCUUAGCUCAGCUGGUAGAGCGCGUCACUAGUACGAUGCAAUCGUGUAAUGACGAGGUCAGUCGUUCAAGUCGGCUAGUGGGAA